AUGAUGAAGUACGAGGCUAUGACACACACGCACUUUGAGAAGUUGUACGAAUACAGGUCAACUUGGGUGCCGUGCUACUUCAAACACAGGUUCUUCCCCUUCCUACAGUCUACACAGUGUAGUGAGGGGUUCAACGCCGUCCUAAAAAGAUAUGUGAACCCACACAACUCAAUGCUGAACUUCGUCAAGCAAUAUGAAAAAAUCCAGAACCACUUCCUUGCCAAGGAAGGCUGCAAUGAUUACAUGACAGAACACCUUGAGAUUGAGCUGUGGUCCAACUUCCCAAUAGAGAAGCAAGCUUACAAAACCUAUACUAGGGACCUUUACCACAAGUUCAGAGAAGAGUUUGAGUUGAUUGGACAUUAUAAUGCAUUCCAAGUUGGUGCUGAUAUAUUUGAGCCCAGACCGAACCAAGAAUUUGUUGCCAAAUAUGGUUCUCGAAACUAG
rnacentral:rRNA from 1 species